rnacentral:lncRNA from 1 species
CGACAGCAUACCAUGUAUCAACUGCUAAUCUUCUCGUGACAUUCUGUUCUAUAACAUUUCAGUGAUGGUGUACAAAAGAAGAAGGAUCACUAAACCUACAAGGAUCUUUCACGGGAAGUCUAUUUGUGGGUGAACCCCAGCUUCUUCAGCUGUAAGCAAAAGAAUACAGUCCCAGAUUCUCACCACAAGCCACAUCUAAAAGUGAAUCACACUCAAGCAGAUGUUGUUUCCCACAGGAACAAUGUACUGUUUGAGGUGGUCAUUCCUAACGAAAGAGUCAGCCUCAAGUGAAUCGUAAACAUGACCAACAAUAGGUUUUAAAAUGAAAAUACAAUAAUUAUCAUAUACUGGAAAAGAUCGCUAAGAUCCAAG